AGAGAAAAUGUUGGAGUGAGAGAGAUGAGAGAGAAAGGGUUGAGAGGAAUGAGGGAGGCGAGUAAGGGUUUGGGGGUUUCUUUUUUUUUUUUUUUUUUUAGUUUUGAGAAUGAAAAUUAUUUAAAUAUCCCCUUAAAACUUGAAUCCAUGAUAAAUGAGGGUACUUUUGUCUACUAUAAUCCGGUACACAUUGUUAUAACACCAAAAAAGUUAUUAAAUAAUAUAUCCCUUUA
rnacentral:lncRNA from 1 species